UGAGAAUGGGCUCUUCAGUCUGACAGACAAACGUCUAACCUGAUCCAAUGAUUGGCAGCUGAAGCUAGACAAAUUCAAACUGGAAAU